rnacentral:rRNA from 1 species
CAUUAUAGUAAUAUACUAUAGGUCUUGGAGUUAGCCUGCAAAGGCGCUCCAUUACCGCCAAACCUUGUAAAUAUAACUUAAUUGUUACCUCGGUGGGCUCGCCUGCCGGCGGACAUAAUUAAACUCUUUUAAAAAUUGUCUGCAAAUAUUGUAAAAGUCUGAACUUUAAUGUUAAUAUAUUAAAACUUUCAACAACGGAUCUCUUGGUUCUGGCAUCGAUGAAGAACGCAGCGAAAUGCGAUAAGUAGUGUGAAUUGCAGAAUUCAGUGAAUCAUCGAAUCUUUGAACGCACAUUGCGCCCCUCGGUAUCCCGGGGGGCAUGCCUGUUCGAGCGUCAUUUCUACCACUCAAGCAUAGCUUGGUAUUGGGCAUCGUUGCUUUCAAACGUGCCUUAAAUGUAGACGGCGGCAAACACUAGUUCCGAGCGUAGCAGUAAAACAUUUCGCUUUAGAGAAUCUAGUAUAUUGUCAACCGCAUAGUUUUUACUACAGUUUGACCUCGGAUCAGGCAGGGAUACCCGCUGAACUUAA